UAGGGAAUCUUCGGCAAUGGGGGCAACCCUGACCGAGCAACGCCGCGUGAGUGAAGAAGGUUUUCGGAUCGUAAAACUCUGUUGUUAGAGAAGAACACGAGUGAGAGUAACUGUUCAUUCGAUGACGGUAUCUAACCAGCAAGUCACGGCUAACUACGUGCCAU
rnacentral:rRNA from 1 species